UACGAGUGCCCCAAGCGUUAUCCGGAAUUAUUGGGCGUAAAGGGUGUGUAGGUGGUCUUGUUAGUCUUCUGUUAAAGCUCUCGGCUUAACCGGGAACGUGCAGAGGAAACGGCAGGACUAGAGGAUGCGAGAGGUGUGCGGAACUCAUGGUGUAGGGGUGAAAUCCGUUGAUAUCAUGGGGAACACCGAAAGCGAAGGCAGCACACUGGCGCACUCCUGACACUGAAACACGAAAGCGUGGGUAGCGAAUGGG
rnacentral:rRNA from 1 species